GAAAUGCGAUAAGUAAUGUGAAUUGCAGAAUUCCGUGAAUCAUCGAAUCUUUGAACGCACAUUGCGCCCUCUGGUAUUCCGGGGGGCAUGCCUGUCCGAGCGUCAUUGCACACCCUCAAGCGCGGCUUGUGUGUUGGGCCCCCGCGUCCUUGCCUCCUGAAAGGACGGGCCCGAAAGGCAGUGGCGGCGUCGCGGUUAUCCGAUCAGCCAGAGCGUAUGGGGACGCUACAGUCACACGCUCGCGGCGCGGACCGGCGCUGGCCGACCCCCCUAACCAUUCUACGGUUUGACCUCGGAUCAGGUAGGGAUACCCGCUGAACUUAAGC
rnacentral:misc_RNA from 1 species